rnacentral:rRNA from 1 species
UGCAGUCGUACGCUUCUUUUUCCCCGGAGCUUGCUCCACCGGAAAAAGAAGAGUGGCGAACGGGUGAGUAACACGUGGGUAACCUGCCCAUCAGAAGGGGAUAACACUUGGAAACAGGUGCUAAUACCGUAUAACAAUCGAAACCGCAUGGUUUUGAUUUGAAAGGCGCUUUCGGGUGUCGCUGAUGGAUGGACCCGCGGUGCAUUAGCUAGUUGGUGAGGUAACGGCUCACCAAGGCCACGAUGCAUAGCCGACCUGAGAGGGUGAUCGGCCACAUUGGGACUGAGACACGGCCCAAACUCCUACGGGAGGCAGCAGUAGGGAAUCUUCGGCAAUGGACGAAAGUCUGACCGAGCAACGCCGCGUGAGUGAAGAAGGUUUUCGGAUCGUAAAACUCUGUUGUUAGAGAAGAACAAGGAUGAGAGUAACUGUUCAUCCCUUGACGGUAUCUAACCAGAAAGCCACGGCUAACUACGUGCCAGCAGCCGCGGUAAUACGUAGGUGGCAAGCGUUGUCCGGAUUUAUUGGGCGUAAAGCGAGCGCAGGCGGUUUCUUAAGUCUGAUGUGAAAGCCCCCGGCUCAACCGGGGAGGGUCAUUGGAAACUGGGAGACUUGAGUGCAGAAGAGGAGAGUGGAAUUCCAUGUGUAGCGGUGAAAUGCGUAGAUAUAUGGAGGAACACCAGUGGCGAAGGCGGCUCUCUGGUCUGUAACUGACGCUGAGGCUCGAAAGCGUGGGGAGCAAACAGGAUUAGAUACCCUGGUAGUCCACGCCGUAAACGAUGAGUGCUAAGUGUUGGGAGGGUUUCCGCCCUUCAGUGCUGCAGCUAACGCAUUAAGCACUCCGCCUGGGGGAGUACGACCGCAAGGUUGAAACUCAAAGGAAUUGACGGGGGCCCGCACAAGCGGUGGAAGCAUGUGGGUUUAAUUCGAAGCAACGCGAAAGAACCUUACCAGGUCUUGACAUCCUUUUGACCACUCUAGAGAUAGAGCUUCCCCUUUGGGGGCAAAGUGACAGGUGGUGCAUGGUUGUUGUCAGCUCGUGUCGUGAGAUGUUGGGUUAAGUCCCGCAACGAGCGCAACCCUUAUUGUUAGUUGCCAUCAUUCAGUUGGGCACUCUAGCAAGACUGCCGGUGACAAACCGGAGGAAGGUGGGGAUGACGUCAAAUCAUCAUGCCCCUUAUGACCUGGGCUA